AGCGAACGCUGGCGGCAGGCCUAACACAUGCAAGUCGAACGAAGCCUUCGGGCUUAGUGGCGGACGGGUGAGUAACACGUGGGAACGUACCUUUUGGUUCGGAACAACUCAGGGAAACUUGAGCUAAUACCGGAUGAGCCCUUAGGGGGAAAGAUUUAUCGCCGAAAGAGCGGCCCGCGUUAGAUUAGCUAGUUGGUGAGGUAAAGGCUCACCAAGGCUACGAUCUAUAGCUGGUCUGAGAGGAUGACCAGCCACACUGGGACUGAGACACGGCCCAGACUCCUACGGGAGGCAGCAGUGGGGAAUCUUGCGCAAUGGGCGAAAGCCUGACGCAGCCAUGCCGCGUGAAUGAUGAAGGUCUUAGGAUUGUAAAAUUCUUUUACCAGGGACGAUAAUGACGGUACCUGGAGAAAAAGCCCCGGCUAACUUCGUGCCAGCCGCCGCGGUAAAAC
rnacentral:rRNA from 1 species